rnacentral:rRNA from 1 species
AUUGAACGCUGGCGGCAGGCCUAACACAUGCAAGUCGAGCGAGCGGCGGACGGGUGAGUAAUAUCUGGGAAACUGCCAGUUGGAGGGGGAUAACUACGGGAAACGGUAGCUACAACCGCAUACCAUCAGAUGUGCCCAGGUGGGAUUAGCUGGUGGGUGGGGGAAAGGCUCACCUAGGCGACGAUCCCUAGCUGGUCUGAGAGGAUGACCAGCCACACUGGAACUGAGACACGGUCCAGACUCCGACGGGAGGCAGCAGUGGGGAAGAUUGCACAAUGGGCGCAAGCCUGAUGCAGCCAUGCCGCGUGUGUGAAGAAGGCCUUCGGGUUGUAAAGCACUUUCAGCGGGGAGGCGUUACCCGCAGAAGAAGCACCGGCUAACUCCGUGCCAGCAGCCGCGGUAAUUC